UUUUUGUGGUUGAACUGGAUGGACUUGUGUCUUUUUUCAACCUGACUAACUAUGUAACUAUGUAAUAGUCGCACAGCGGCUGCAUCUGAUUGGUGACAAUUGUCCGCCCCGUACAUAUUAUCUAUCUAGCCUAUGUCUUUACACCAUACAUUUUUUAUACGAUAUAGAUUUGUGACUUGCUGUCUGGAUAUUGCAUGAUCUCGGUUAUAAUCUGGGCACCCGGGGAUGGCAAUAAGGCAUGUCAUACACAUGCGAGUUCUGCUGACACAAAAUCCCUCUGCUUGAUGCCAACAAAUAGGUCCUGAGGAAGCGAAAGCGAAACGCUGACCAACUUUGUCCAAAGCACCAACAGGGAUUCGCACAUACCAUGUGUGGCUCUUCUACUGAGAGACUAAUAUCUUGUUUUUAAAUGUUACAUUGUCUAAUUUUAUGAUUCUAUACAUUAAAAUGUAUAUAUUUUUUCUAUUAAA